rnacentral:rRNA from 1 species
CGGACGGGUGAGUAAUGUAUGGGGAUCUGCCUGAUGGCGGGGGAUAACUACUGGAAACGGUAGCUAAUACCGCAUAAUGUCUACGGACCAAAGCGGGGGACCUCCGGGCCUCGCGCCAUCAGAUGAACCCAUAUGGGAUUAGCUUGUAGGUAAGGUAACGGCUUACCUGGGCGACGAUCCCUAGCUGGUCUGAGAGGAUGAUCAGCCACACUGGAACUGAGACACGGUCCAG